rnacentral:rRNA from 1 species
AGAGUUUGAUUAUGGCUCAGAGUGAACGCUGGCGGCGUGCUUAACACAUGCAAGUCGAACGAGAACGGAUUAUAGCUUGCUAUAAUUGUCAGCUAGUGGCGCACGGGUGAGUAAUGUAUAGAUAACCUGCCCUUAAGAAAGGAAUAACAGUUGGAAACGACUGCUAAUGCCCUAUAUGCCUUUAAUACAUAAGUAUGCAAGGGAAAGCUUUAGUGCUUAAGGAUGGGUCUGUAUGGUAUCAGCUUGUUGGUGAGGUAAUGGCUCACCAAGGCUAUGACGCCUAACUGGUUUGAGAGGAUGAUCAGUCACACUGGAACUGAGACACGGUCCAGACUCCUACGGGAGGCAGCAGUGGGGAAUAUUGCACAAUGGACGAAAGUCUGAUGCAGCAACGCCGCGUGGAGGAUGACACAUUUCGGUGCGUAAACUCCUUUUAUAUAGGAAGAUAAUGACGGUACUAUAUGAAUAAGCACCGGCUAACUCCGUGCCAGCAGCCGCGGUAAUACGGAGGGUCCGAGCGUUAAUCGGAAUUACUGGGCGUAAAGCGCGCGUAGGUGGUUCAGUCAGUCAGAUGUGAAAGCCCCGGGCUCAACCUGGGAACUGCACCUGAUACUGCUGAGCUAGAGUACGGUAGAGGGUAGUGGAAUUUCCGGUGUAGCGGUGAAAUGCGUAGAGAUCGGAAGGAACACCAGUGGCGAAGGCGACUACCUGGACCGAUACUGACACUGAGGUGCGAAAGCGUGGGUAGCAAACAGGAUUAGAUACCCUGGUAGUCCACACCGUAAACGAUGUCAACUAGCCGUUGGGGGACUUGAUCCUUUAGUGGCGAAGCUAACGCGAUAAGUUGACCGCCUGGGGAGUACGGCCGCAAGGUUAAAACUCAAAUGAAUUGACGGGGGCCCGCACAAGCGGUGGAGCAUGUGGUUUAAUUCGAAGCAACGCGAAGAACCUUACCUACUCUUGACAUCCAGAGAACUUUCCAGAGAUGGAUUGGUGUUCGAACUCUGAGACAGGUGCUGCAUGGCUGUCGUCAGCUCGUGUUGUGAAAUGUUGGGUUAAGUCCCGUAACGAGCGCAACCCUUAUCCUUAUUUGCCAGCAGUAAUGUCGGGAACUCUAAGGAGACUGCCGGUGCAAACCGGAGGAAGGUGGGGAUGACGUCAAGUCAUCAUGGCCCUUACGAGUAGGGCUACACACGUGCUACAAUGGCCGGUACAGAGGGCUGCAAACUCGCGAGGGUAAGCUAAUCUCAAAAACCGGUCGUAGUCCGGAUUGGAGUCUGCAACUCGACUCCAUGAAGUCGGAAUCGCUAGUAAUCGUGAAUCAGAAUGUCACGGUGAAUACGUUCCCGGGCCUUGCACACACCCCCGUC